UACGAAGGGUGCAAGCGUUACUCGGAAAUUACUGGGGCUUAAAGGGUGCGUAGGCGGCUCAGAAAGUUGAAUGUGAAAGCCUCGGCUUAACCGAGGAAUUGCAUCCAAAACUACUGGGCUUGAGUGAGACAGAGGUGAGCGGGAACUCACGGUGGAGCGGUGAAAUGCGUUGAUAUCGUGAGGAACACCGGUGGCGAAAGCGGCUCACUGGGUCUUUGGCUGACGCUGAGGCACGAAAGGCUAGGGUAGCGAACGGG
rnacentral:rRNA from 1 species